rnacentral:rRNA from 1 species
AACCUCCGCAAUGUGAGAAAUCGCGACGGGGGGAUCCCAAGUGCCAUUCUUAACGGGAUGGCUUUUCAUUAGUGUAAAGAGCUUUUGGAAUAAGAGCUGGGCAAGACCGGUGCCAGCCGCCGCGGUAACACCGGCAGCUCUAGUGGUAGCAGUUUUUAUUGGGCCUAAAGCGUCCGUAGCCGGUUUAAUAAGUCUCUGGUGAAAUCCUGUAGCUUAACUGUGGGAAUAGCUGGAGAUACUAUUAGACUUGAGACCGGGAGAGGUUAGAGGUACUCCCAGGGUAGAGGUGAAAUUCUGUAAUCCUGGGAGGACCGCCUGUUGCGAAGGCGUCUAACUGGAACGGUUCUGACGGUGAGGGACGAAAGUUAGGGGCGCGAACCGGAUUAGAUACCCGGGUAGUCCUAACUGUAAACGAUGCGGACUUGGUGUUGGGGUGGCUUUGAGCUGCUCCAGUGCCGAAGGGAAGCUGUUAAGUCCGCCGCCUGGGAAGUACGGUCGCAAGACUGAAACUUAAAGGAAUU